rnacentral:lncRNA from 10 species
GAACAAACGAUGGAAAAGAAGCCACAGAAUUUUAUUUAUUUUUUAUUUUUUACUUUUUAUUUUGCAGUUAUUUAUUUAUUUAUUUAUUUAUUUAUUUAUUUUUGAGAUGGAGUCUCGCUCUGUUGCCCAUGCUGGAGUGCAAUGGCACGAUCUUGGCUCACUGCAACCUCUGCCUCCCAGGUUCAAGUGAUUCUCCUGCCUCAGCCUCCUGAACAGCUGCGAUUACCGGCGCGCACCACCAUGCCCAGGAGAUAUUAAGGCAGAGAGCAGUUAAAUAACUUGCCAAAAAUUCUCAACAGGUUUUUUUUUUUGUAGGGACAAGGUCUUGCUAUGUUGCCCGGCCUGGUCUCAAACUCCUGGGCUUAAGCAACCCUCCCCAGUCCUGCCACCAUAGCCUCCCAAAGCCCUGGGAUUACAGGUGUAAGCUGCAAGAACUUCUUGAAAGGCAAUUCAACAUAGUGUUUAAAAGCAUGCAGGAGUCCUGGGUUCAAAUCUCCAUUCCAGCUCUAUCCAGGUAUGUAAAACAUGAAUAAUAAUAGAACCUGCAUACAGCAUUUCGUGAAGAUUAAAUAGAUUAAUAUAUAAAUUCUUAGAACAGUGCCUGACACAUAGUUAGUUCCCAAUAGGUUGUGAUUAUCAUACUAAGAGCAAAAAAUAAAAUGAAACAAUCUGGGUGCACCUGGAGUUUCCAUCGGUUGCAAACUUUGUAAACAAUCAGAUAGUAAUUUAAGCUUUGUGGGCUAAAAUGGUCUAAUGUUGCACAUUCUUUCACCUUUACCCAAAAUUGUCAUUGUCAGGCCUCUGAGCCCAAGCUAAGCCAUCAUAUCCCCUGUGACCUGCACAUAUACAUCCAGAUGGCCUGAAGCAACUGAAGAUCCACAAAAGAAGUGAAAAUUGCCAGUUCCUGCCUUAACUGAUGACAUUCCAGCAUUGUGAUUUGUUCCUGCCCCACUCUAACUGAUCAAUUAACUUUGUGACAAUACACCCUCCCCACCCUUGAGAAGGCACUUUGUAAUAUCCUACCCCAACCCACUGCCCUUAAGAAGGUACUUUGUAAUAUUCUCCCCACCCUUGAGAAUGUACUUUGUAAGAUCCACCCGCUGCCCACAAAAAAAUUGCUCCUAACUCCACUGCCUAUCCCAAACCUAUAAGAACUAAUGAUAAUCCCACCACCCUUUGCUGACACUCUUUUUGGACUCCGGCUGCCUGCACCCAGGUGAUUAAAAAGCUUUAUUGCUCACACAAAGCCUGUUUGGUCGUCUCUUCACACGGACACACAUGACAUUUGGUGCCGAAGAGCUGGGACAGGAGGACUCCUUCAGGAGACCAGUUCCCUUGUCCUCGCCCUCACUCCAUGAGGAGAUCCACCUAUGACCUCGGGUCCUCAGACCAACCAGCCCAAGGAACAUCUCACCAAUUUCAAAUC